ensembl:lncRNA PCDH9-AS1 PCDH9 antisense RNA 1
AUCAUAAGCUAUCAUAUGAGAAGCAAGAUUUCAGAACCUUUUUUAAACACAAGUGCUUGAGAUUGUUUGAACAAUGUGUGUCAAGACAGACUACUAACACAGAAACACCUCACUGAAAGAAACAACAAAAAUAACAACAAAGAGGUUUGAUGACUGGCUUACAGAGAAGAAUAAGGAAAUGUACCUCUAAGAAUCGUUUGAAAUGAGUCUUCAUAUCCUCCCAAAUAUUUUUCAAGAACGUUUGGCAUUACUUCAAAAAUUAACUUUAGGAAAGGAACUAUUAUCACAUUUUAAGAGGGGAAUUGCAGUUGCACUUAAACUAGAAACUUCCACUUGGUGAAUUGAAUUAUUAAGGAAUAAUGGCAGAAGAAAGAGUAAGUCGUUUAUAGGCAAUAAUAAGCAAUAAAAAUAUAUGUAUAUGUGCAUGCAAAAAGUUAUGGCAAAACUAAUAAGAUUUUAAAAAAUCAUUGUGUUCCUGAAGAAACAAAGAACUGGUUUUCUUCUAAGGAAUUAAAGAGUUUUGUUUCUUUGG